GGAUCAAAGCCAUUCGUAACGUGGCUCAUAGUGAAAGAACAGAAGAGACUGUGCUAUGGCCAGUCUUGGAGAAGUUAUCUGUGAUGCUGCUGUUGAGAACAAUGAUGCUGAAGGAAAAAUCGACAACGAAGGACGCCAAGAGGAAAUGACCACCAGCACAAACCUAAACAACCUGAACCCCAAAGG